rnacentral:rRNA from 1 species
AUUGAACGCUGCGGCAGGCUUAACACAUGCAAGUCGAGCGGAGAGAGGUAGCUUGCUACCUAACCUAGCGGCGGACGGGUGAGUAAUGCUUAGGAAUCUGCCUAUUAGUGGGGGACAACAUUUCGAAAGGGAUGCUAAUACCGCAUACGCCCUAAGGGGGAAAGCAGGGGAUCUUCGGACCUUGCGCUAAUAGAUGAGCCUAAGUCGGAUUAGCUAGUUGGUGGGGUAAAGGCCUACCAAGGCGACGAUCUGUAGCGGGUCUGGGAGGAUGAUCCGCCACACUGGGACUGAGACACGGCCCAGACUCCUACGGGAGGCAGCAGUGGGGAAUAUUGGACAAUGGGGGGAACCCUGAUCCAGCCAUGCCGCGUGUGUGAAGAAGGCCUUUUGGUUGUAAAGCACUUUAAGCGAGGAGGAGGCUACCGAGAUUAAUACUCUUGGAUAGUGGACGUUACUCGCAGAAUAAGCACCGGCUAACUCUGUGCCAGCCGCCGCAGUAAAAC